UACGUAGGGGGCAAGCGUUUGUCCGGAAUCAUUGGGCGUAAAGAGCGCGUAGGCGGCCCGAUAAGUCCGCUGUGAAAGUCAAGGGCUCAACCCUUGAAUGCCGGUGGAUACUGUCGGGCUAGAGUCCGGAAGAGGCGAGUGGAAUUCCUGGUGUAGCGGUGAAAUGCGUAGAUAUCAGGAGGAAUACCGGGUGGCGAAAGCGACUCUCUGGACGGCAACUGACGCUGAGGCACGAAAGCGUGGGGAGCAAACAGG
rnacentral:rRNA from 1 species